AUGCAUAAAUCUGGAAUAACUAACAAAGUGGUCGAUGCUUUGAGUCGUCGUGCAUGCCUCUUGACUUCUUUUGAAGCUGAACUUCCGGGCGUGGAUCAAAUAAAGGAGUUGUAUGAGGGUGACGAAGACUUUGGCCAUGUUUGGGUAAGGCACGCAAGGGGCCGACCAUUAGGUGAUGACUAUUUGAUGCAAGAUGGAUAUCUCUUUAAAAAUGAUCGUUUGUGCAUUCCAAGAAGUUCUCUACGUGACAAGCUGGUUAGAGACCUUCAUUCAAGUGAUCUUAGAGGCCAUGUUGGACGGGACAAGACUAUCGCCAACCUGGAAGCUCGCUACUUUUGGCCACAACUAAAGAGAGAUGCUGGAAAGUUCGUUCAACGGUGCCCCGUAUGUCGGACCUGCAAAGGCAAAGUCCAGAACACAGGGUUAUACAUGCCUUUGCCUGUUCCUGUUGCUCCAUGGGAGGACAUUUCUAUGGACUUCGUCUUGGGCUUGCCAAGAACAAGACAAGGAAGUGAUGUUGUAUUUGUGGUCGUGGAUAGAUUCUCUAAGAUGGCUCAUUUCAUCCCAUGCCGCAAGACAACGGAUGCUCAUCAUGUGGCAAACCUAUUCUUUCGAGAAGUGGUUAGACUUCAUGGAGUUCCAAGGUCCAUUGUCUUAGACCGUGAUAGCAAGUUUCUUGCUGCAUUUUGGCUCACUUUGUGGAAGCAAUUCAACACUGAAUUGAAAUUUUCUAGCACUGCUCAUCCACAAACAUAUGGACAAAUGGAAGUGGCGAACAAGUUUUUGGGUAAUCUGAUCCGUUGCAUUUGUGGAGAAAGAAAGAGACAAUGGGAUUUGGCUUUAUCUCUUGCAGAAUUCUUCUACAAUAACUCCAAGCAUAGAUCCACAGGAAGGAGCCCUUUUUCCAUUGUCUACACUAAAGUUCCAUCACAUGUGGUGGACCUGGUGAAGCUACCAUCAAGGAAAAACUCAAAAUCAGCAUUGUCGUUUGCUGAUAAUUACACCGAGUUAUUUGAAGAGAUUCACGGUUCUUUGAAAGCACAAAAUCAAAAAUAUAAACGACUUGCUGAUUGCAAAAGGAGGCCAAAAUCAUUCCAAGCCGGUGAUAAGGUGAUGGUCUACCUCCGAAAAGAGAGGCUGCCUUUAGGUGUUAAAGGGAAACUUAGGCAGCGAAGGUAUGGACCCUUCUCUAUCGUGAGGAAGAUAAAUGAUAAUGCUUAUGUGAUAGAUCUUCCAAGCGAUAUGGGUAUCUCCAACACUUUCAAUGUUGCGGAUUUGACUCUCUACCAUCCAGAAGAAGCGCUCUAUGCAAAUAACUCGAAGGAGAGUUCCAAACAACCAGGGGAGAAUGAUGAGGAACACUAG
rnacentral:rRNA from 1 species